rfam:Salmo salar isolate Sally breed double haploid chromosome ssa04, whole genome shotgun sequence.
AAUGCACCAAUUUGUAAGUCGCUCUGGAUAAGAGCAUCUGCUAAAUGACGUAAU